rnacentral:rRNA from 1 species
UACGUAGGGUCCGAGCGUUGUCCGGAAUUACUGGGCGUAAAGAGCUCGUAGGUGGUUUGUCGCGUUGUUCGUGAAAACCCCCAGGCUUAACCUGGGGACGCCACCCGAUACUGCCGUGGCUAGAGUCCGGUAGGGGAGCGUGGAAUUCCUGGUGUAGCGGUGAAAUGCGCAGAUAUCAGGAGGAACACCGGUGGCGAAGGCGGGUCUCUGGGCCGAUACUGACGCUGAGGAGCGAAAGCGUGGGGAGCAAACAGG